rnacentral:misc_RNA from 1 species
ACUAAUAUAUUUCCCAGGAUCACUGCAGAGAUGGGCAUCAACUAAAUGUACAACUGUCAACCUAAGGUUCAACUUCUUGAUGAGUUUCAUUAUAACAUUCUUGGCAUUUGAGUGAAGGAAAAAUAAUUCCACCUGACCAGGAAAAUCAAAAAGAAGGUAGUGAUCUUUCAACAGAGGUUCCAAUUUAGAUUGCAACCAGUCGAUAUUCUUCUCCAAAUAAUCCAUGCAAUACACAAGACCUCCAUUGGGACCAAGAGAAUGCUCCAUCAUUACAUCACUUAGCUUAAUGAGAUCCUCAAUAUUCACAGCACAGUCAUAUGGCAACGAAUCAUUUGCAGGAUCCAAAUUGAUGACUGCAACCUUCCUUCCGAUGAGGCUAAGGAACUGAGACAUGCCAUUGCAAUAAGUGGUUUUUCCAGAUCCAGGUGGACCUAUGACUACUUGCCCAAACACCAUCCUAAUUUCACUCACUAAGAAGUUAAGAUUAAGAUUUAGUAGGAAAC